GUAGGUGGCAAGCGUUGUCCGGAAUUAUUGGGCGUAAAGCGCGCGCAGGCGGUUCUUUAAGUCUGAUGUGAAAGCCCACGGCUCAACCGUGGAGGGUCAUUGGAAACUGGAGAACUUGAGUACAGAAGAGGAAAGCGGAUUUCCACGUGUAGCGGUGAAAUGCGUAGAGAUGUGGAGGAACACCAGUGGCGAAGGCGGCUUUCUGGUCUGUAACUGACGCUGAGGCGCGAAAGCGUGGGGAGCAAACAGGGAUUAGAUACCCUGGUAGUCCACGCCGUAAACGAUGAGUGCUAAGUGUUAGGGGGGUUUCCGCCCCCUUAGUGCUGCAGCUAACGCAUUAAGCACUCCGCCUGGGGAGUACGGCCGCAAGGCUG
rnacentral:rRNA from 1 species